rnacentral:tRNA from 1 species
GCCUGGGUGGCUCGGUCGGUUAGGCGUCAGACUCUUGAUUUCAGCUCAGGUGGUGAUCUCACGGUUUGUGGGUUCAAGUCCCGCUUCGGGCU